rnacentral:lncRNA from 1 species
UCCUAUUCAGCCAAUCAAGUCAAGUUUAAGUCCUAUGUCAGACUUAUGGGCAACAAAGUGAUAUUAAUAUUAAAUACUUAUGAUUGAUAAAUACUUUUGACAAUAGGCCUCAGCUGCAUGAUGAGGCUACGCACACUUUCAUCCUACGGUCAAUAUCCAUUGUAUUCUACUAUAAAAGCUCAUACAAUGUAUCAAUGCAAAGAUAAUGCAAGUUUAGACUUUCAACCUACAACUUU